UCAGCAGCCUAAUGGUAAUUUAGGACAGGAAGUGAGCAGGGACUGAACAUGUCAGCUAUUCACGGCUUGAGGUCCACAGCUGACAUAAUAAGCGGAUGUGUUCCUGUGGAGGGCGUGAUUGUGUAUUUUGUUCCUGUACUCGGAUCUAUUAGAUUGUUGAUUGAUUAAUGAUAGACUGUUUAUUGGUCUCAGUGGAUUAGUGAUCCUGUAGCAGUGUGAGUUUGGACUUUCUCUGCACUCCCUCAAAGCCAUGCACAUACACACUGUUUCAGUAUGGUCUCGCCUGAUGGCCAUUCCAGCAGUGCGGAUGUGGUUUCAACAAUUUAUCCUGCACUUUCCAUAAAUUCACACUCACUGCGCGAGACGCGAGAAAGAUACUUGAGACGCUUGGACUCAAAGCUGCCUUUGAAGAUGAGAAGACCUUCUUCUGGAGCCCGAGAGACACGAUGUGUUAGCACGACGUCAAUAAGAGAUAGAACAAAAUAGUUUUAUAUUAAAGAUACAUGAAAGUCUAAUGUCGGCCACAGAAGAAGCCAUGGAUGAAGAUUGCUGUGAUUCUCAACGUUAACAUUAUCUCAUCAUGGAGCCACUGAGUUGGACCACUGAUCCGCAGUGCUGGAGCAGGAAGAGGAAUAGAGCUACAGUAAUGUAUUGGGAAAAUAACCUAAUAUUAAUACUUCACUGUAAUUUUCAUGUUUUCACUGAAAAAUUCAUGCACUGCUUAUUCAGUUAUUUUAGUCACAUUCCACUUUAAAACUAUUUAAUGUGCAAAACAGGAGCUCACAUGAACGAGUGCAGCAGGGGUUUUUUUGCAGACAUUCAGGACCAAAUGUAUUGUAAAAGAUAACUCGGUUUGUGAGGUUUCAUGUAUAUUUCUAAUCCAUCUGCAGUCCCUUUUUUAACGCGAUAAUAUUCUAUAAUACAUUACAUGCGCACGUGCUUUGAGUAGUGUUUCGAUACUCUCUGCUAUAACAUUUGCCUUUAAAUCUUCUUGACAUCCCUGUUUCUAAUUUGUCCAUCUUUGCCCGUUCUCUUGAUAUGUCUGUUAAAUUGUACCAGAUGUUCUGAAUGGUUUGCUUUAAUCAGAUCUGGAUCUGGGUUUCACUUCUGUGUUUUGGAUUAUUGGAUUGGAUUACAGUGUACACUGACGUUCUAACUGCCAGCGGUGGACAGUAAUGAAGCUAUUUAUUUUUCAGUUUCUCACAGUUACAUUCACUUCAGGAAAACACGCUCCAACUUCAUGCACUGCAACUUCACCACCAAUCAGCUGGACAAUCCUACGCCAUUGCUUUUCUAUAUUUAAAGCCUCUACACUGCUAUAAGCCCAUAACUGGCUAUAAACCAGCUGCAAUUGUUAAGUAUGAAGAGGAACUACAAAAAAACAAGCAAAACAAGGAACUCCUACCAUGUGCCGCGCUGCCGCUUUGCCUGCGUCUCAUAGGGUCUGUGAUCAAUAGUGCCACAGCAAGCAGCGCGCGCGGCGAGCCCAUUACUGUCACCGUGAC